UCCUAGUAUAAUGGGCAAACAGAGAUGGG
rnacentral:piRNA from 1 species